UACGUAGGGUGCGAGCGUUGUCCGGAAUUAUUGGGCGUAAAGAGCUUGUAGGCGGUCUGUCGCGUCUGCUGUGAAAAUCCGGGGCUCAACCCCGGACUUGCAGUGGGUACGGGCAGACUCGAGUGUGGUAGGGGAGACUGGAAUUCCUGGUGUAGCGGUGAAAUGCGCAGAUAUCAGGAGGAACACCGAUGGCGAAGGCAGGUCUCUGGGCCACUACUGACGCUGAGAAGCGAAAGCAUGGGGAGCGAACAGG
rnacentral:rRNA from 1 species